AAAAAAAUCUAAUGACUCAUCCGAGAAAAUAUAAAACAGAUACAAAAGUCGGAUCCAAAGGUAUGGCCUAAUGGUAAAUAAAGUGGGUGAAAAGUAUACGAUUUCUUCUCAUUUAUCCAAGUCUUGAUGGUUAGAGUUAUUUGCUUGUCCUCUGCGACUAUAGCUUUUUAAACUUCUUUAUAUCAGUUUUUCCUAUUAAAAGAAAAUAUUGCAG
rnacentral:misc_RNA from 1 species